rnacentral:rRNA from 1 species
GACGAACGCUGGCGGCGUGCUUAACACAUGCAAGUCGAACGGAAAGGCCUGCUUUCCCUUGUGGAUUGCGGGUACUCGAGUGGCGAACGGGUGAGUAACACGUGAGUGAUCUGCCCCCAACUUGGGUAUAAGCCUGGGAAACUGGGUCUAAUUCCCGAUAGGACUGCAGGGUGGUGCCUGUGGUGGAAAACGAUUUUCUAGUGGUUGGGGAUGAGCUCGCGGCCUAUCAGCUUGUUGGUGGGGUAAUGGCCUACCAAGGCGGCGACGGGUAGCCGGCCUGGGGGGGGGGACGGCCCAAUGGGGACUGGGAAACGGCCCAGACCCCAAGGGGGGGGGGCAGGGGGGAAGUUUGGACAAGGGGGGGAAGCCUGAGGGACGGGCGCCGGGGGGGGGAUGACGGCCUUGGGGUUGUAACCUCCUUUGGACCGGGAGGAAGCCACCUGGUUGGAAGGGUGGUGACGGUAGUGGUAGAAGAAGCACCGGCUAACUACGU